UCAUCAGGGCGAAAGUUCAAG
rnacentral:piRNA from 1 species